AGUGUUUCAUUUUUCUCAACUUUUGUAUUUCUUUUAGAAAAAGAAUUUCUACAACGCUUGUUAAAAAGACAAAAUGAGUGACCGUGAGUCUCUGAUUAAGCUGAAAAUAUCAUGUGUUGUUUGUGCCAUUUGUGCAGUUGCCUUUCUGUUAAAUUCUGUUAUUGAAAGCUGCUUUCAAUUUUGGUUGUGGCCUUAUGAUCGCAGUCAUCUAUCCUGUUCUUUUGCAAAGUCACAUAUCAAGCUUGGUUUCUCUUUAUCUAAUUUUUUUUCUUACUUUGUUUUUUGUUUCCAACUAUAGCUGCAGCUGAAAAGAAGGAAGAGAAAUAUCCUCAUGAGGAGGAAGGAUCAGGAUCAGGAUCAGAGGGAGAAGGAUCAGGAGGAGAAGGAAAAGGAAAGGGGAAAGGGAAAAAGCAUGGAAAAGGAGGUGAACAUGGACAUGGAGGUGGAAGAGGAGGUGGACAAGGAAGAGGAGGCGGACAAGGAAGAGGGGGCGGACAAGUUCCUAAAUAAAUUAUGAAGAAUUCACUGAAUCAGCAUUAUCUGAUGACUGCAAAAUGACAGAUAUAUCUCUAAUAAACUAAUACAGAAAGAA